rnacentral:rRNA from 1 species
CCUACGGGAGGCAGCAGUGAGGAAUAUUGGUCAAUGGACGCAAGUCUGAACCAGCCAUGCCGCGUGCGGGAAGACGGCCCUAUGAGUUGUAAACUUCUUUUGUACGGGGGUAAAGGCGGCUACGCGUAUCUGUACGGAAGUAUCGUACGAAUAAGGAUCGGCCCACUCCGGUCCAGCAGCCGCGGUGAUACGGAGGGUUCCAGCGUUAUCCGGAUUUAUUGGGGUUAAAGGGCGCGUAGGCGGUAGGAUAAGUUAGUGGUGAAAUCCGGCGGCUUAACUUUGGAAUUGCCUUUGAUACUGGUCGGCUAGAGAGUAGGAGCGGUAGGCGGAAUGUGUGGUGUAGCGGUGAAAUGCUUAGAGAUCAUGCAGAACACCGAGUGCGAAGGCAGCUUACCAGGCUACAACUGACGUUGAGGCACGAAAGCGUGGGGAGCAAACAGGAUUAGAUACCCCUGUAGUC